rnacentral:rRNA from 1 species
CCUACGGAGGCAGCAGUGGGGAAUAUUGGACAAUGGGGGCAACCCUGAUCCAGCCAUGCCGCGUGAGUGAUGACGGCCUUAGGGUUGUAAAGCUCUUCUCUCCGGGACGAUAAUGACGGUACCGGAGGAAUAAGCCCCGGCUAACUUCGUGCCAGCAGCCGCGGUAAUACGAAGGGGGCUAGCGUUGCUCGGAAUCACUGGGCGUAAAGGGCGCGUAGGCGGCUGACUUAGUCGAGGGUGAAAGCCCGUGGCUCAACCACGGAAUGGCCUUCGAUACUGGUUGGCUUGAGACCGGAAGAGGACAGCGGAACUGCGAGUGUAGAGGUGAAAUUCGUAGAUAUUCGCAAGAACACCAGUGGCGAAGGCGGCUGUCUGGUCCGGUUCUGACGCUGAGGCGCGAAAGCGUGGGGAGCAAACAGGAUUAGAUACCCUGGUAGUCCACGCUGUAAACGAUGAAUGCUAGCCGUUGGUCUGCAUGCAGGUCGAGUGGCGGCCGCCGUACCGCAUUAAGUACACUUCCGUCCGUCGGGGUAGGGUACGGGUCGGCGAAGAAGUUAAAACUUAACAAACGUAGAAGUUAGUACGGCGUGAGACGUCGCCGACGGACGACCGACGAGGGAGGUUAGG